CUACGGGUCGCAGCAGUGGGGAAUAUUGGACAAUGGGGGAAACCCUGAUCCAGCAAUGCCGCGUGUGUGAAGAAGGCCUGCGGGUUGUAAAGCACUUUCGGUUGGGAGGACUGCUUCUAGCACUAAUAUUGUUGGAAGUUGACGUUACCUUCAGAAGAAGCACCGGCUAACUCCGUGCCAGCAGCCGCGGUAAUACGGAGGGUGCAAGCGUAAUCGGAAUUACUGGGCGUAAAGCGCGCGUAGGCGGCUAGAUCAGUCGGGUGUGAAAGCCCCGGGCUUAACCUGGGAACUGCAUCCGAUACUGUCUAGCUUGAGUACAGGAGAGGAGAGUGGAAUUCCACAUGUAGCGGUGAAAUGCGUAGAUAUGUGGAGGAACACCAAUGGCGAAGGCAGCUCUCUGGCCUGAUACUGACGCUGAGGUGCGAAAGCGUGGGGAGUAAACAGGGUUAGAUACCCCAGUAGUC
rnacentral:rRNA from 1 species